AUGAAUUGUUGUCAUAACACAAUUGACGAAUGAAACGGCAUUUCGAAAGCAGUCAAUAAAUACAUCGAGACUCAAAGCCAAGCUUCAAUGCUUUCAGUCUCAGCCGUCAGAAUAAGAGACAAAGUGAAAGAGACAGGUUGAACCAAUCCCGCUUCUCUUCCCAGCUUACCUUCCACUCUUCAACAUGAACCGAAUCCUCCUCUGUUUCAUAGCCAUUUCUCUUCUCUCCAUCUGUCAAUGUAACUCAAAGUCUUUCCCGUUCGGCCCUCGUGGCUUUAAUAAUCCUAAGUGUGGUCCAGUCUGUAUGAUGUACUGUGAAUUUGGAAAUGAGCUGGAUGCAAGAGGAUGCCCAAUAUGCAAAUGUAAACAGGCACCAAAAUGAUGACAGCAAAUGAUGACCAGCUCUGAAUAGUGGAACAUGACUCAUGAUAAAUUUAUAGGAAGAUGACCACGGUGAUGAAGAUGAUGAUGGUGGUGGUGGUGGUGGUGGUUGUGUGAGUGAUGGUAUUAGUGAAGAUGAAGAUGUUCAUGAUGAUGAUUAUGAUAAUGGAGGUUAUAGGUGGCGGCAGCGGUGGUGGCGGUAGUGGUGGUGGUGGUAGUGGUGACUUAACCAGUCCACACCUGUUUUUACAUAUUUUUCAGUUGUAAAGUUAAUUGCCAUAAAACACUCACAAGCCCCAAAUACAAUAUUAAUUAUUUAACUUGUUUCAGUCACUGAACUGUGGCCAGGGUGGGGCACAACAUUGGCGAAAUUCUUUUCUUUUCUUUUUCGACCUUAUUGACCCCAGAAUUUAUUUUUAAAUAUGGUCCCUUAUUUUUGCAAUCACUGUUUUGUCACAUUGCUAUGUAAGGGAACAACAUAAAACACACAGAAAAUGGGAUAUUUGUGUGUGUGUGUGUGUGUGUAUGUGUGUGUGUGUGUGUGUGUGUGUGUGUGCGUGUGUGUGUAGCAAGCAGAUCUCUGCCUCAGAUUUAGAUCCAACUAUUUUCUUUGCAAAUAAAAUACACAAAGAAACAAACAAGAUCUUUCAAACUCAGUCAUGAGAUCUGUUGCAUAGAGACACUGUGUGUGUGUAUACACACACAUAUAUAUAUAUACAUACACACACACACACAUAUAUAUAUAUAUAUAAACAUGUAUAUAUACAUAUACGUACACAUAUAUAUAUG